UAUAUCCCUACAGUAAGAAGAGAAAGUACACAAUGUCAUUCAUCCCCAUAAAUGUCACAGAGACUCUUUACAAGAUGAAAGAAUCUAGUCAACUGGUUUCCAGUUUAGCAGUUGAGCCAAUCAAUUGUUGAAACUCCGUAGCCCCCACUUCUAGCUACACACAGUAUGCACGUUAGGCUACUGUGAUGUUAUCUGACUUAUGUUCUAGAAUUUUUUUAAUUUCAGCUAAUCAUUAGUCUGUCUUCAAGUCAACUAUUUAAAGCUUUCCUCCAUGUGGCAUUUGUGUCAACUGCUUACUUAAUAUUCUGCAUUUCAUUUUACUUCUGCUUCUGUCCUUGAGCUUUUUAGAGGAAAUGUCUAACUGACAGAAGGAGGGCCCUUUCAUUCAGGACAAGUUUAUGAGUUAUAUCCUUGCUGCUUCUGUUCAGCGUUCUCAGCUUUUGAUGUGUGUGAGUAUAACAAGCAGUGUGGUGUGACUGGCUGGCUCCUCACCCCAGCCCCAGCCCCAGCCACCCAGCCUCUUCUGCAGAACAAUGUAAGCCAGAGCAAGCCUUUCCCCUGAGUGCCUUCUUGCAAGACAAUUGGUCUCAGUAAUGAGAAAAGUAACUGAUAUAAAUCAAUUAUUUUGCUUUGCCCUGUCACAGGGAAUACUGUUAAAAUAUUCCUAUCACAGGAAUGGGUUGUAAUAUUAUACUGUACUCAAUAAAUAUGCUCAAUUAUUAAAUAUCAAUCAAAAUUGAUUUUAGAAUGUUUGAGAUGGAAAGGUUAACUACCUUUUAUCAUUAUAUAAUAUAUACAUAUUUUAUCAUACCAUGCCUAUAAAUAUGUAAUCAUUUUAAUAUGCCCCAUUCACAAGACUAAUUGAAGCUUAGGAACCUCAUGAUUACUAUAGCACUCUUACCUAAUAAUGUCAAGCGUUUUGUUACUAGAUCCUGGCAUGUUUUCUUUAGAGUUCGUUUUUUUUAAGGUUUCUCAUUUGAUAGAAUUAAAGACUUUUUAUAAACUGGAUAAUUUGAUUUGACUGUGAUUAUACGAUCCGUGGUUAAUCUAAACCAGGAAAAUAGAGUUUAGUAAAUUGAUUUAUGAAUGUGUCACUCAAUAGUUAUUCAUUUAAUAGGUAAGACUAAGUUAUAUAGUAGGAUUGUCUUCAAAAUUAAACGUGUGUUUUAAUUGUGACUCACACAAUAAUCAUGAACAAAUACUUUGAAUUCUAAGUUUUAGGGUAGUCAUAAGAGUUAAACAAGACAAAUACUUUUACAACAAUUAUUACCAUUUCCAGUGGGUAGAAAAUAAGAGAUUUCAUUCCAUUUUCUACAUUAAUCCACUUACUGUGCUCCAGUUUAGCUUACAAUAUGAGGUUAAAUCAUAUAAAAUUAUUAGGAUAUAAAUGUCUUUGCCUUGUAGAGGGUCAUUUAUAAUUUAUUGCCCAUUAGUGAUCAUUUUACUAAGAAGAUUAUAUGACGUUUCAAGGCAACAAUAUCUUCCUAACAUAGUACUGAGUGUCAUAAGCUGUAACAGGGAAUGAUAUAGAGCCAUAGGCAUAGACAGCCACACUGUAUCUUUGUGGCUAGCCAGCGACGUUUUUAACCAUCCUUGUCCUUUCCAAGACCCGGAGGUCCUAGUAAGCAAUCUGGUUUGAGGAGAGGCUACCACCCCCUAGUGUGACCAGAUAACAGAAACAUGUGAGAGGGCUCGGCUGGGGCCUCUCCGUCCCCUUAGUCAGCAUAUCUGUGGACAGGAGGUACAUUGAGAAACACUGUGACUGCCUUCCUCUAAAAGCACUAGGUGACCCUCUCCGAAGGAUUAUCUCUUGAAACCACUGACCUUUUUAUACAGGUCCUUCCCCCAUCAUGAAGUGAUGAGCAAAGCAGUCACAUGGCUGUCACAGGACUCCAAGGGAACACCUUGGACACAUGGUCAUGUUACAGAUAAUUGUAGCUUUCACUCCUCAUCUAAGAAGCUUCUCUUGGGAGCAAAUGGAAACCAUCACAGAAAACCACAACUGGACACAAUAGAGAGAUCCACAGAUGACGAGAAGCCUGGCUCCAAUGGAUCCAACGCCAUCAUAGCUCUGCCACUAUGGCUCAGAAAACAUUGGGGGAGAGAGGGAGAAAAGGCUACAAGAGCUAGAGCACCAGAAAGUCUUCUGUGAAUCCAGUUCUCCUGUAAAUGGCUGCAUGAGCAAGACCACGACAAUGGCAACAUCAGUGGAUGUGCUUAUGUGAAAGGGAGAAAGUAUCACAGGGUCCCAUUCCCAGACAAAGAACUAUGGGUCACAAAUGACUUCUGGGAGAAGGAGAAUCGGCUUCUACUAAGAAUGAACACACUUAUUGGUUUUCCAGUGCGGAGGGGAAAGUGAUAUACAAAUGACUAACCAAAUCAGGUUCUAUCAAGAUACAUAUACACAUACACAUACAUAUGUGUGUAUGUUAAUACAUAUAUACACAUAUAAAUAUAAACACAUAUAUAUAUAUAAAACCUUGGAGAGAGAGAGAGAGCAUAAUAGUCAAGGAAAAUAUCAACUUGAGGAAUAGUUGGAGAAGUUGGAGUGGAGGGAGGGUAUCUGGGAGGGUGGCAGGGAGGAAAGAGGAGGUAGGGGUGAUACAAUACUAUUUUAAUCAAUAAAUAUGUAUUUUAAAAAUAAGAUAUUAGCUUUCACCAUGUCUAUGUCAAGUUGUUUAGCAUAUAUUUAGUACUAAUUUGUUGUAAUGUUAAUUUCUGCCUUUUUAAGUCCUUUGGGUUUUUCUUCCAAUUUAUUUAUUUAUUCACUUUACAUCUCUGGAUCAGCCCCGCUCUGCUCCCAGUACCCUUUUACACAAGAACCCCCAGUUAUGUGCUGGCUUUGAGAUAGACUGUAGCAGAUUUUUCUUCUUCUUCUUUUUUUAGGUUAGGAAUUAUUUAUUGAAUAAAUUAACAGUGGUAACUGUG